GGGGAAUUAGCUCAGUUGGUAGAGCGUUUGCAUGGCAUGCAAAAGGUCAGCGGUUCGAGACCGCUAUUCUCCA
rnacentral:tRNA from 1 species